CUUCCUUUUUUUUUGGCAAUCCGCUAGGCAAGCGCCUAGGGCUAGUUUUUAUAUUAAUAAAUACACAAAAAUAAUUACAUUAUCUGGGGUCUAACGAAAUGAGAGAAAUAAAAUUUGACAGUUACAUUCAUCCUAUUACCAAAGUUAAGUAGUAUACUCAAAUUUGGUAUCACAAAAUGCAUACUAUACUUAAAAUCUGAUGCCAAUCCUUGUAAUUGUACACACUAAUUCCAUACUUUGUCUACCAUUCACUUGCAAUGUCACAUUUCCUUCCUCAAGAGAAUGAGCACAAUGUGCUAAUACCACCCAUAGAGGUCUUAUUGAGUGGCAAUGCAAUAAUACAUGGAUACGUCCCAUUGCUUUGUUCCAUAACACAAAAAAUGCCAUGAAGAUUCCAGUUGUAUGGGUUGGUCUUGAAGCUUACAGUUCAUUAUGGUAGUCAAAUUAUCUUUCUUUUUCAACAUAGUUGUUGAACAUUUACUGACAAAAGCUGCUACGCUUGUCAAAACUUCAAACUCUUGAAGCAUUACACUUGUUGUUUUGAUUUCAGUUGCUCAGAUUCCGACAUAACUCGUAUAGAACUUUAAUCACCUAAUAAUGCUUGCUUUGAAUUCCAACAGCUCUAUGGUGCAGACAUCAACUACAGAGGGCUCAACCGCAUAAGAAGAUCCUCACUGCUAAGAAGGUCUAGUUCUAGAUGAUUUUACUUGUUUGGAUUAUGUGUAAACUUUUGUCAGGGAGACUCAAGUAGCGCAUCCAGUUCUAUGGCACAUCUUCGCUUGAGGGGAGGCCAUCUUUUGAACUUUUUCUUGCUCUGUAGAAUACCGUCAUCGCCAAUUAACAUUUGCUCUACCUG
rnacentral:lncRNA from 1 species